UACGUAGGGGGCUAGCGUUGUCCGGAUUUAUUGGGCGUAAAGAGCGUGUAGGCGGCCUGGUAGGUCUGCUGUGAAAACUCGAGGCUCAACCUCGAGACGUCGGCGGAAACCAUCUGGCUAGAGUCCGGAAGAGGAGAGUGGAAUUCCUGGUGUAGCGGUGAAAUGCGCAGAUAUCAGGAAGAACACCCGUGGCGAAGGCGGCUCUCUGGGACGGUACUGACGCUGAGGCGCGAAGGCGUGGGGAGCGAACGGG
rnacentral:rRNA from 1 species